GNUCNNGACGGCUGUGNGNCCACUGNCUCUAANACAUGCAAGUCGAACGAUGAAGCCCUUCGGGGUGGAUUAGUGGCGAACGGGUGAGUAACACGUGGGCAAUCUGCCCUUCACUCUGGGACAAGCCCUGGAAACGGGGUCUAAUACCGGAUAACACCUGCCCGGGCAUCUGGGUGGGUUAAAAGCUCCGGCGGUGAAGGAUGAGCCCGCGGCCUAUCAGCUUGUUGGUGAGGUAGUGGCUCACCAAGGCGACGACGGGUAGCCGGCCUGAGAGGGCGACCGGCCACACUGGGACUGAGACACGGCCCAGACUCCUACGGGAGGCAGCAGUGGGGAAUAUUGCACAAUGGGCGAAAGCCUGAUGCAGCGACGCCGCGUGAGGGAUGACGGCCUUCGGGUUGUAAACCUCUUUCAGCAGGGAAGAAGCGAAAGUGACGGUACCUGCAGAAGAAGCGCCGGCUAACUACGUGCCAGCAGCCGCGGUAAUACGUAGGGCGCAAGCGUUGUCCGGAAUUAUUGGGCGUAAAGAGCUCGUAGGCGGCUUGUCACGUCGGGUGUGAAAGCCCGGGGCUUAACCCCGGGUCUGCAUUCGAUACGGGCUAGCUAGAGUGUGGUAGGGGAGAUCGGAAUUCCUGGUGUAGCGGUGAAAUGCGCAGAUAUCAGGAGGAACACCGGUGGCGAANGCGGAUCUCUGGGCCAUUACUGACGCUGAGGAGCGAAAGCGUGGGGAGCGAACAGGAUUAGAUACCCUGGUAGUCCACGCCGUAAACNGUGGGAACUAGGUGUUGGCGACAUUNCACGUNGUCGGUGCCNCANCUAACGCAUUAANUUCCCCCCCUGGGGAGUNCNGCCNCAGGGUUAAACUCAAANGAAUUGACGGGGGNCCCCNCAAACCCNGGAACUUUNGGUUUAUU
rnacentral:rRNA from 1 species